CUGCAGAGACCAAAAAGAGAGGAUGGGUGAGAGUGGAUGAGUCUGACUCUGCCAUCGGGGAAUGGCAAGGGACAGUGAUGCCGUAAAAAAUAAGUAGUCCCACAUCAAGUCGGCUGCUAGGAAAAAGGGAGCUGAGAGAAGUAGGGAGUUGAAGAAGACUGGGAGGGGGGUGGGUAUUGACCAUUCAUGUGGACCAGCUGGAGGAGAAGGUGUUGUUCAUGAUAGGAGGGAAGGUGGUAGAGGGACUGCAUUUGGACAUCGACUCGGACAGCAUGACCGAAAUAGCACUGGACCUCAUCCAUAUGCCCCUGUGCCCGGAUGUGGGAGCCAUGGAUCAUCAUGAUCAUAUGACAGAAGAACAAGCAGAGAUCAUUACUGAAGACAAAGGAGAUGUGCCUGUCUCCGAUCUUUAUCCAUAAUGACACCCCAAUGGACGAGCCAGUGCAAGGAGGUUUGCUGGUGUGGAGGAGAGAUGGUGGCUCUCCAGAGGACGCUCCUAGGGGUGCUCAUGGCCCUGCACAAGGUGCAAGAGGAGCUGCUGAAGGUGGAAGGCGAGAGAUUAGCCUUGGAGAAGGAGAAGCUAGCACUGGAGAAGGAUACGUUUUUCAUGGAGAAGCGAAGAAGACUAGAAGAUUAAUAUUCUAAAAUAAAUCUGUUUCGGUAUCAUAACAAUCUUAUUUUUUUGUCAUGUGAAUCUCCUCCUUAUGAGGUCAUUCCUUGCUUGUAGGCCAGCUUUUCAUCUACCAGUGAUGUCGGGGUGGCUUGUCAGGAAGUCCAGGACCAGUUGCACAGAACGGGGUUCAGACCUAGGGCCUGAGCUUAAUGAUGAGCUUGGAGGGUACUAUGGUAUUGAAGGCAAUGAACAGCAUUCUUACAUAGGUAUUCUGCU